rnacentral:lncRNA from 13 species
ACAGAAUUAACCCUUUCUUGUCUAAUAUUGUCAACAUGUGUGUACUUCCUAUUUCCCAUUAAAUAAAUUAUUAAUGAUACAGUAAUACCUUCUCAACUACAAAUUUUGCUUCACAUAGAUAAAACAUAUAACUUCAGACUUUUUGUAAAUGUAAGGAUUUUGUUUUCCUUAUACCUAAGAUGUGGACUUUUCCUCAUGAGAAUAUUGAAGAAAACUGGAAAGUGGUCACAGCAACUAGGAGAGAGAGCCAAACAGCACACAGUAUAAAUGAGGAUUUUGCAAUCACCAGUGGAGGAAUAAAGGUUUCUGAACUCAUCGCUUGGAUAAUUAUCUUUUGCUUCUGGCCCCAUUACUUUGUUCUUUCCACACCGUGUUGGACACAAAGUAUACCAGAAUGAGGACAUAGACGCUCAAAUGAUUAUGUGAAUUUUCAAGACCAGACAACUAGCAAGGGAAGGAACUGGAAUUGGUAGUUGGCACUUACCUUUAUUUAGCUACAAGUAUCUUGGUGUUAGCAAUAUUGGAAAGGAGAUAUGAAGACAGAUAGGAAGGGAAGAAUU